CAGCAGCCGCGGUAAUUCAGGGGGUGCGAGCGUUAAUCGGAAUUACUGGGCGUAAAGGGCGCGUAGGCGGUCUAGUAAGUCGGAUGUGAAAUCCCCGGGCUUAACCUGGGAAUUGCAUUCGAUACUGCUUGGCUAGAGUGUGGAAGAGGGAAGCGGAAUUUCCGGUGUAGCGGUGAAAUGCGUAGAUAUCGGAAGGAACACCAGUGGCGAAGGCGACUUUCUGGCCUGUUCUUGACGCUGAGGCGCGAAAGCUAGGGGAGCAAACGGGAUUAGAUACCCCGGUAGUCCUAGCCGUAAACGAUGGACACUAGGUGUUGGUGGUAUCAACCCCGCCAGUGCCGUAGCUAACGCAUUAAGUGUCCCGCCUGGGGAGUACGGCCGCAAGGCUAAAACUCAAAGGAAUUGACGG
rnacentral:rRNA from 1 species